GGGGAAGCAGGGAGAUAUCCCGGGAUUCCUUAGCCUGGGUUUCCUGCCUGCUUGCUUCCGAAGUGUCUUCUUCCGUUAGUUUCCCUGGCCGGAGUUCGCCCCAAGCCAGCCUUGCCCAUUCAUAAAUCUCUUUUCAGCUAUCUCGACUGGGCGCUUGCUUCUUGGUUAAAUGGUUCUUCUAUGCAGCGUUAUUUGUAAACGAGUCUUUGGCCUCAGAGAAAUACCAUGAGAAAUACAGCUGCAGUUAAAUAGGCUGUGUUCGUUCUUCACUGAGGAAUCGGGAAAGAAGUGGCCCCUUUGUGCAUCAGCCUGAACUCCACCAGAGGGAGCGGCUCUUUACCUCCUCAAGGGGAAUGGCGCACUCCUGCGACUAAUUUCCUAGGCUCCCCAACAGGACACAGAGACCCACUCACCACUGGCAGAUCACCCAAACCCAAGACAAGAAGACAACAGAAGGAGGGCUGCUGCUGUUGGUGUCUCGUCUGUCUCUUUCCUUUGCUUGAUGGGAGCAGCUUCAUGGAAGAUGUGGUUCGUCAUGCUGGAUAUGCAGUAACCACAAAGGAUGAGGUGAUCCUAGUCAGGGCCCCUUCUUUUUGACUGGUUGGCACAAUGGGCUGAGUUCUGGGCACUCAUACAGGCACUCAGAUGGGCAAAAGGUAAAAAGGUAAAUAUAUACAGGCUCUCAUUAUGCAUUUGCUCCAUGCAUGAUUCAUCAAGAGUGAGGUCUUCUCACAGCAGAGUGGAAACAAGUCAAGAAUAGACAGGAAAUUGUACAGUUGCUAGAGACAGUGUGGGAACCUAACAAAGUCGCAGUAAUAUGUUGUUCAGGACAUCAGAAAUCCAAAAACUUCAUUGCACAAGGUAACAAUAAAGGUGAUGCUGAAAGCCAAGAGACAACGCACUCAAAGCCCUGCUCUCACCACUCUGGAGGCUGGUGAGUCAAUCCAUGGCUGAAAAUUGGGAGUGCUGGGAAAGGCAACAUGGACUCUUGUGCUAUGCCAGAUUACUACUACUCUGAGUUUCUUUGUUUUUUCAAACUGUGGGUGUUUAAGCCUAGUGAUGAAAAGUUUAAUGAACAUUUUGUAACUUUCAAAAUGGUAAAAUGGGAACCAGAGGGCUAUCCAUUCACUGUAUUCUUUGAUGUUUGCCCAAGGGAGCAUUAUGGGGGACCUGGGGUAAUUUUUGACUGUGGGGGAUAUUCAAGUGAAAAGUCAUAUUGUAAAGAAAAAACAAAACUCUGGCUCAUUGACUCAGAUGUAAGGUGUGCUCUCGAUUUGCUAACAGCCCAGAAAGGAGGGACUUGCUUAUUCCUUGGUGAAGAAUGUUGUUAUUAUGCUAAUGAAUCUGGUGUAAUACAAGAAUCACUAGACAAACUGAAAGAUCAAAUCAAGGCUCUUGGUGAGGAAUUUGGUAUGGAAGAGUCAUCCUAUGGGAUUCAUUUUACUUGGGCAGGAUGGAAAACUUGGAUAAGACCUCUUCUGAGUCCCCUUCUUGUUAUAAUAUUAGUAUUAAUAUUUGGCCCUUGUGUUAUUCAAUGGAUCUCAAGAUUUGUACAACAGCAUAUUGCUGCCACUCAACACUAUCAAAUGCUAGUAUUGAGAAAUACAGGUAAGUUACAUGGAACAUAUUGUGGAUAAAAGAUUUAUCCUGAAGUAGACAAAGGGAGGAAUGAUAGGGAAAAGUUUUAAAGUAAAUUUAUUAGAUUAGCUAUUAAAGUAGUUGUGGAGAGCCAAUAGCUCCAUAAGUAAUAAAAUGGACAACUUGGACUUCCUAUGAAAGGGUUAAGUGAAAUAUUACAGAACUUGCUGCCCAGCUCUGAAAGAGGGGUAGGAGAAGGUGAUAAGAAUAGCACAAGAACACAGAACUAGGGAAAGUAAAAACAUGAAACUGUCUCAAGGCUUGGGGAGUUUUCCAGAUGUGCCUUAUGUAAGAUGUUUGCUCUUCUUGAGGGAUAUAAAAGAGAGGAGUAAAGUCAAUAAAGCAGCUCGGUCUCUGGGAGCCCUCCUGACUCUAUCUCUUUGUCUUUAUUUUUCUUCAUCCUCACUCCCUCAUUCAGGUACUGUUCGACAAGUGACAGCAGGCUCCAUCAAGUAGUUGUGGAGGCAAAAUAGGUAGUGUAUCAUUUUAAAAGCUUGCCUUAGCCCUUUGCUUCUGCUAUUUCAAGUGAAGAUUAUAUAGUUCCUUUGAUCUGUAGCUCCACUAUAGAUAACAUCUUAGCUCUGAAGAACAAAGUGGGAGUCCUUGAACAAACUUGUGAUAUAUGUGCCUUAAUUGUCAUGUGUUUAGGGCUGUAAUCAGUGACAGAAACCACCUGUGUCUAACCAUUAAACAGGAAUUAGAACUUUAUUUACUUAACAAAGACCACUAGGGAUGAGAUAAUGACUGACAAAAGUAUAAAAGGUGAUGGACAAAGAAUUCAGGGGUGGACUCUGACCAGACCAGUUUCUGGUGUCCUGCCUUGCUAGCAAGUAAAGACCUUUGUUAUUUUACCCAAA